rnacentral:rRNA from 1 species
GAACCGUGCGAACGUUGUUCGGAUUCACUGGGCUUAAAGGGCGCGUAGGCGGGCGGCCAGGCCCGGGGUGAAACCGUUCGGCUCAACCGGACGACUGCCCUGGGGACCGGCUGCCUCGAGGGGGGUAGGGGCACGCGGAACUUCCGGUGGAGCGGUGAAAUGCGUUGAUAUCGGAAGGAACUCCGGUGGCGAAAGCGGCGUGCUGGGCCCCUCCUGACGCUGAGGCGCGAAAGCCAGGGGAGCAAACGGGAUUAGAUACCCCGGUAGUCCUGGCCCUAAACGAUGGGUACUAGGUAGCGGGCCGGACAUGGGCCCGCUGCCGGAGCGAAAGUGCUAAGUACCCCGCCUGGGGAGUAUGGUCGCAAGGCUGAA